ACAUGCCGCCCUUCAGCCUGUUGUGGGUGUUCCUGGCCUUCAGCUACUCUGGAUCCACUGUGGCCCAGAAAGUUACUCAAGCCCAGACAGCCACAUCCAUGACCGUGGGGCGCGUGGUCACCCUGAACUGCCAGUAUGAAACAAGCUGGAGUGCAUUCUCUAUUUUUUGGUACAAGCAACUUCCCAGCAAAGAGAUGGUUUUCCUUCUUCGCCUGGAUUCUGGUAGUAGCAAUGCAAGAAAUGGUCGCUAUUCUGUCCACUUCCAGAAAGAAGCUAAGUCCAUCGACUUGACCAUUUCAGCCUUACGGCUAGAAGAUUCAGCGAAGUAUUUCUGUGCUCUCUGGGAUGCACUGUGUUUGAAGUGAUAGUAAAGGCAAAACAAAAACCCCAGAGCUAAAUAAGAGACAGCACCCCCACCCCAUGCUGUGGGAGCCAAGUUGAAAUGCACAUCUGCAGAUCCCAGGAAAGAAAUGGUAGUGACUGUGGUCUGUGAACUUAAUCUGUGGUCUGGAUGAGAAGAUUGAAUU